GGGGGCGUACUGGUUUCGACUCUUAGUUGGAAGCACAGGCGGCAUGUCGAGGAUGGUUCGUUGGCCUCGUUAAAAUCCGGACCAAAAAAAAUAAACGCAGAUCACCAAGAUCUCGCUCUCGCGGCUUAAUUGACCGUGACCUGUCCGCAGCGACGCCUGCUAGCGGUGGAUAGGUGGACAGCAGGCUAGCCUGACGGCGGAGCGACCGCGUCGAAGGGUGAAAGGAUUUCGCGGACGCUCGGGAGCCGGCAGUGUGCCGAUGCAUCGUUUGGCUCCUUAAAAAUAAGCAUCGGAUAAACAUGUAGAAGCUUGUGCAGAAAGCUUCGAGGACAGGGGUUCGACUCCCCUCGCCUCCACUU
rnacentral:tmRNA from 1 species